UAUAGUAAUAUCAAAAACUCU
rnacentral:piRNA from 1 species